rnacentral:rRNA from 1 species
GACGAACGCUGGCGGCGUGCCUAAUACAUGCAAGUCGAGCGCUGAAGCGGGGUACUUGUUCCAACUGGAUGAGCAGCGGACGGGUGAGUAACGCGUGGGUAAUCUGCCUUUGAGCGGGGGACAACAUUUGGAAACGAAUUCUAAUACCGCAUAAAAACUUUAAACACAAGUUUUAAGUUUGAAAGAUGCAAUUGCAUCACUCAAAGAUGAUCCCGCGUUGUAUUAGCUAGUUGGUGAGGUAAAGGCUCAACAAGGCGAUGAUACAGAGCCGACCUGAGAGGGUGGACGGCCCAAAUGGGACUGAGGACAGGCCCCAGACCCUACGGGGGGGCGCCGGAGGGAAACUUUGGCAAAGGGGGGAAGUCCGACCCAGCCCCGCCGGGGGGGGGAAGAAGGGUCUCGGAUCGGAAAACUCUGUUGGUAGGGAAGAAAGUUGGUGGGACUGGAAAGCCGAUCAAGUGACGGUAACUAAACAGAAAGGAACGGCUAACUACGUG